GAUGAAGAACGUAGCGAAAUGCGAUAAGUAGUGUGAAUUGCAGAAUUCAGUGAAUCAUCGAAUCUUUGAACGCACAUUGCGCCCCUUGGUAUCCCGAGGGGCAUGCCUGUUCGAGCGUCAUUUCACCACUCAAGCCUGGCUUGGUGUUGGGCGACGUCCCCUUUGGGGACGCGCCUCGAAACGCUCGGCGGCGUGGCACCGGCUUUAAGCGUAGCAGAAUCUUUCGCUUUGGAAGUCGGGACCCCGUCUGCCGGAAGACCUACUCGCAAGGUUGACCUCGGAUCAGGCAGGGAUACCCGCUGAACUUAAGCAUAUCAAUAAGCGGAGGA
rnacentral:misc_RNA from 1 species